rnacentral:misc_RNA from 1 species
GGACUAAAUAAUCUAUUUUUCCAAAAACAAAGCACAGCAGUUUCAUUAAAAUGCAAAGAUUAAAUAGUAAUUUUUCCUAUUAAAAAAAUCAUAAUAGCCACUUAUUUAGUUGAUAAUCUUAAAAGGAAUGUUAUUCAUAUGCAUAAAGGGUUAUACUUCCAAACCUAGAUUAGAGAUAUGCAGCUAGUUGUUCCAGUUCCAAACAGAACCAAACUAGAAAAGCUGAUUUAUAGAAAUGUAAAUAUUCAAGAACUGAACUAAACCGAUGUUAGGAAUAGAACUAAGCCAAAUCGAACUUCGAUUUGAUUUUUCAAUUUCAAUAUUUUCUUUCCCUUUCCAGCAGUUUCUCUCAUUUUUCUACAUUUUCU